UGAGGAAUAUUGGUCAAUGGGCGAGAGCCUGAACCAGCCAAGUAGCGUGAAGGAAGAGUGCCUUACAGGUAAUAAAUUUCUUUUCUUCGGGAGUAAUGACAUCUACGAGUUAGGUGUAGAGUAAGUACCGAAGGAACAAGCAUCGGCUAACUCCGUGCCAGCAGCCGCGGUAAUACGGAAGGUCCGGGCGUUAUCCGGAUUUAUUGGGUUUAAAGGGAGCGUAGGCUGCCCGGAAAGCGUGCUGUGAAAUACAGUGGCCCAACCACUGGACUGCAGCGCGAACUGACGGGCUUGAGGGCGCACGACGCAGGCGGAAUUUGUGGUGUAGCGGUGAAAUGCUUGGAUAUCACGAAGAACCCCGAUUGCGAAGGCAGCUUGCGGGGGCGCGACUGACGCUGAAGCUCGAAAGUGCGGGUAUCAAACAGGAUUAGAUACCCUGGUAGUCCGCACGGUAAACGAUGGAUGCCCGUUCUGCGGCCUUCGGGCCGCGGGACCAAGCGAAAGCAUUAAGCAUCCCACCUGGGGAGUACGCCGGCAACGGUG
rnacentral:rRNA from 1 species